rnacentral:lncRNA from 1 species
GAUGACAGGACUAACCACUGACCUUCAAAAGACUGCUUCUAGAAGGUUCCUAUUUUCCUGUCCUUCCAUCCAAAGAACCCACAAGCCAUUUUUCUCCCCCAAAUCAUUUUCUAAGGAGUCCAAAACACAACACCGCCUCAAGAGCUAUUCCACAUUCUCUGUCAGCCCGGAACUGCCUUAGACCUUUGCAUGUUCCCUGACAGCAGCCUGCCUACCUGAGUUGCAAGCCAGCCAGCAUGAACAGAUCCAGUUGGAUUAGUUCAGUCAAUAAGGGUGUUGUCAUACUCCUCCCAAUGUCCACAGAGUCCACAAUGAUUAAAUAAAGGCAAGCCAGGAAGCACACCAAGGACAGAGGUGGACACGUGCCAGCCAACACAGGAAUACAGGGCCUGUAUCUGUUCAUCUCAAGCAUCCAGUGGCUGUUUGUGAGGCGCUUGGUAACACGCCUCUGGGAGCACCGGGUUCUUCUUGUGCAUCCUGGGAUGAUUUGGAAGCAACUACGCAGCCCACAUUGACCUCAAGCUUUUUCUCCUCUUCCUCUGCCUCACAAAUGCUGGGAUUAUAGGUGUGUGCUCCCAUGCUCAGCUAAAGCAAUUAAUUAAAAGCCAAUGUUGUUAACAAUG